AAUAAUGCAACAGGGAGAGUUGUAAAAUGACGAAGAACUGGAAGCGAUGACGUCGACUGGCUGCCAGCACAGUACAAUUUACAAACUGCGCACUGUCUUUAUAAACAGACCAAUAAUACAAAAGCUAUUGUAUUUAAUUUUAUGAAGAACUUUCAUUUGAUGUGAACAAGGAAUUUCUAACAUGGAAGAAGGACAAUAAAAUAUAAUUCCUAAAUAACCACCCGCACUGAGUGUUGAUUCAUCCCUAAAUCCUAACUUUAAAAUAGUUGUUGCACUGAAUGAAAAGCAGGCUGUUAUGCGAGUGCCUGAAAGACUUUGAAAUAUAUUUCUUGUGAAAAAUUGGAAUAGACUCAGCUAUCAACUGACUGUACAUUAUACACUUUCAGUUACACAUUCUAUUUUUUGGAAAUAAUUUUAAUAAAUAUAAUGAAUGAAA